rnacentral:rRNA from 1 species
AUUGAACGCUGGCGGCAUGCCUUACACAUGCAAGUCGAACGGCAGCACGGGGGCAACCCUGGUGGCGAGUGGCGAACGGGUGAGUAAUACAUCGGAACGUGCCCAGUAGUGGGGGAUAGCCCGGCGAAAGCCGGAUUAAUACCGCAUACGACCUACGGGUGAAAGCGGGGGAUCGCAAGACCUCGUGCUACCGGAGCGGCCGAUGUCAGAUUAGGUUGUUGGUGGGGUAAAGGCCUACCAAGCCGACGAUCUGUAGCUGGUCUGAGAGGACGACCAGCCACACUGGGACUGAGACACGGCCCAGACUCCUACGGGAGGCAGCAGUGGGGAAUUUUGGACAAUGGGCGCAAGCCUGAUCCAGCCAUGCCGCGUGCGGGAAGAAGGCCU